CGAACGGGUGAGUAACACGUGGGUAACCUGCCCCGAUGAUUGGGACAACCCGAGGAAACUCGGGCUAAUACCGAAUGUGCCCUCCGGCCACAAGGCCGCUGGGGAAAGGAAGCUUCGGCCUCCGCAUCGGGAUGGGCCCGCGGCCCAUUAGCUUGUUGGUGAGGUAACGGCUCACCAAGGCCGCGAUGGGUAGCUGGUCUGAGAGGAUGGCCAGCCACAUUGGGACUGAGACACGGCCCAA
rnacentral:rRNA from 1 species